CAGUAGCCACGGUAAUACGAAGGGUGCAAGCGUUAAUCGGAAUUACUGGGCGUAAAGCGCGCGUAGGUGGUUUGGUAAGAUGGAUGUGAAAUCCCCGGGCUCAACCUGGGAACUGCAUCCAUAACUGCCUGACUAGAGUACGGUAGAGGGUGGUGGAAUUUCCUGUGUAGCGGUGAAAUGCGUAGAUAUAGGAAGGAACACCAGUGGCGAAGGCGACCACCUGGACUGAUACUGACACUGAGGUGCGAAAGCGUGGGGAGCAAACAGGAUUAGAUACCCCCGUAGUCCCUGUCUCUUAUAA
rnacentral:rRNA from 1 species